rnacentral:rRNA from 1 species
CUACGGGUCGCUGCAGUAAGGAAUAUUGCACAAUGGAGGAAACUCUGAUGCAGCAACGCCGCGUGGAGGAUGACACUUUUCGGAGCGUAAACUCCUUUUAUAUAGGAAGAAGAUGACGGUACUAUAUGAAUAAGCGCCGGCUAACUCCGUGCCAGCAGCCGCGGUAAUACGGAGGGCGCAAGCGUUACUCGGAAUCACUGGGCGUAAAGAGCGUGUAGGCGGAUUAAAAAGUCAGAAGUGAAAUCCUAUAGCUUAACUAUAGAACUGCUUCUGAAACUCUUAAUCUAGAAUAUGGGAGAGGUAGAUGGAAUUUCUGGUGUAGGGGUAACAUCCGUAGAGAUCAGAAGGAAUACCGAUUGCGAAGGCGAUCUACUAGAACAUUAUUGACGCUGAGACGCGAAAGCGUGGGGAGCAAACAGGAUUAGAUACCCUCGUAGUC